rnacentral:rRNA from 1 species
UCUCAAAGAUUAAGCCAUGCAUGUGUAAGUGUAAAUGUACUAGUUUGGAACUGCGAAUGGCUCAUUAUAUCAGUUAUAGUUUAUUUGGUGAAGUGUACUACUUGGAUAACCGUAGUAAUUCUAGGGCUAAUACAUGAGAAAGUCCUCUGGUGAGGUGUGUUUAUUAGAAUGAAAACCAUAUGCUUCGGCAUGAUAGUGAGUAAUAGUAACCUAUCGUAUCGCAUGCUUAAUGUAGCGAUGAGUCUUUCAAGUUUCUGCCCUAUCAGCUUUCGAUGGUAGUAUAUGGGCCUACCAUGGCAGU